CUUCACCCGGCGAGGGCUCCGUGCAGACUGAGCUCUGCAGGAUGGGGGAAGGCUUAUAAAGCCUUGCCCCGCCCUGCAAUUAGGCUCAGAACACACUGAUUGGUAGAUUUAAGCCAUCCAAUCAGAGUGCUCUGAGAGGUAAAUGAAGAGACUGACAGGUAUAGCGAGUAGGGGCAUAAUUUACUAAUACUAAGUAAUCUUUACUUAGUAUUAGUAAAUUUGUCCGAAAGACCAAUUUAGGUCUUUCAGCCUUUUGGUAGAUAACUCCCUAAUACCGUGGGAAUUAGGGAUAUAUCUACCAAGCGGCUGCAAGAGAAGUUCCGAAAUUCAGAUGUUCCGCAGUUCCGAAGUGCAGAAGUGCCAAAGUUGAUGAAAUUCCGAAGUGUCGAAGUUACCGAAGUUACGAAGUGCCGAAUUGCCGAAGUCCCGAAUUUCAGAAUGCCGAACCGAAUCGAAAAAUUUUGCCAUGCACAUGCCUAAUAGG